rnacentral:snoRNA from 1 species
ACGCUCCGGAUGCCUUACCCCUCGCAUCUAAAUGUUGGUCUGAACGGCUCAAUAAGGAGAAGAAGUAGAACCGAAGUGGACUUGGACUCUUUGGCAGCAGACAAGUUCAGUUUAAACCUAU